UGGGGAAUUUUGCGCAAUGCCCGAAAGGGUGACGCAGCGACGCCGCGUGAAUGAAGAAGGUCUUCGGAUCGUAAAGUUCUUUCGACAGGGAAGAAAUUUAUUGCGAGUAACUGCGCAGUAAUUGACGGUACCUGUAUAAGCAGUCCCGGCUAACUCCGUGCCAGCAGCCGCGGUAAUACGGAGGGGACAAGCGUUGUUCGGAAUUACCGGGCGUAAAGCGCACGCAGGCGGCGUGACGCGUCAGAAGUGAAAUCCCCGGGCUCAACCUGGGAACUGCUUUUGAAACGGUCAUGCUCGAAUCAUGGAGAGGGUAGCGGAAUUCCGAGUGUAGAGGUGAAAUUCGUAGAUAUUCGGAAGAACACCGGUGGCGAAGGCGGCUACCUGGCCAUGUAUUGACGCUCAGGUGCGAAAGCGUGGGGAGCAAACA
rnacentral:rRNA from 1 species